CAACGUUCGCCAAGAGAACGGAGCGUGGCAGAACCAGUUAAGUUAUGUUUAGGUUAUUUUCAAAGUCAUUCCUAUUUUCACAAACAGCAACUUCUCUUGAACACUCCCACUAACCCACUUCCAAAACUCAAAAUUUUUUCCUCUCCAUCUCCCAAAUCCUAACUGUUAACAAAGAAUCAAGUUCACUUCAACAAGGUAUGUUUGUUCUUUUCA
rnacentral:lncRNA from 1 species